GAGAGAGGCUCGACAGCAAUGACAACUGCUAACUUUCAUCUCCUUGGUUAGACCCCAGGGCUCCCUCA
rnacentral:tRNA from 2 species